UUUCGGAGCUAACGCGUUAAGUAGACCGCCUGGGGAGUACGGUCGCAAGAUUAAAACUCAAAUGAAUUGACGGGGGCCCGCACAAGCGGUGGAGCAUGUGGUUUAAUUCGAUGCAACGCGAAGAACCUUACCUACUCUUGACAUCUACAGAAUCCUGCGGAGACGCGGGAGUGCCUUCGGGAACUGUAAGACAGGUGCUGCAUGGCUGUCGUCAGCUCGUGUCGUGAGAUGUUGGGUU
rnacentral:rRNA from 1 species